rnacentral:rRNA from 1 species
AGGGCCCGCACUCGGUAAUGAUCCUUCCGUAAGGGUGAACCUGCGGAAGGAUCAUUACCGAGUGCGGGCCCUCUGGGUCCAACCUCCCAUCCGUGUCUAUCUGUACCCUGUUGCUUCGGCGUGGCCACGGCCCGCCGGAGACUAACAUUUGAACGCUGUCUGAAGUUUGCAGUCUGAGUUUUUAGUUAAACAAUCGUUAAAACUUUCAACAACGGAUCUCUUGGUUCCGGCAUCGAUGAAGAACGCAGCGAAAUGCGAUAAUUAAUGUGAAUUGCAGAAUUCAGUGAAUCAUCGAGUCUUUGAACGCACAUUGCGCCCCCUGGUAUUCCGGGGGGCAUGCCUGUCCGAGCGUCAUUGCUGCCCUCAAGCACGGCUUGUGUGUUGGGCUUCCGUCCCUGGCAACGGGGACGGGCCCAAAAGGCAGUGGCGGCACCAUGUCUGGUCCUCGAGCGUAUGGGGCUUUGUCACCCGCUCCCGUAGGUCCAGCUGGCAGCUAGCCUCGCAACCAAUCUUUUUAACCAGGUUGACCUCGGAUCAGGUAGGGAUACCCGCUGAACUUAAGCAUAUCA